CACGGGGGGAGCAAGCGUUGUUCGGAAUCACUGGGCGUAAAGGGCGUGUAGGCGGUCAAGUAAGUGGGCUGUGAAAUCCCUCGGCUCACCCGAGGACCUGCAUCCCAAACUGCUUGGCUUGAGUAUGGGAGAGGAUGAGGGAAUUCCUGGUGUAGCGGUGAAAUGCGUAGAUAUCAAGAGGAACACCUGAGGUGAAGACGGGUUGCUGGGCCGACACUGACGCUGAAGCGCGAAAGCCAGGGGAGCAAACGGG
rnacentral:rRNA from 1 species